rfam:Candidatus Falkowbacteria bacterium RIFOXYA2_FTLL_38_12 rifoxya2_full_scaffold_86, whole genome shotgun sequence.
GGGGGUGUAGUUCAGUGGUAGAACACUGGUCUCCAAAACCAGGGACGAGGGUUCGAUUCCUUCCGCCCCCG